rnacentral:rRNA from 1 species
UACGUAGGGCGCGAGCGUUAAUCGGAAUUACUGGGCGUAAAGGGUGCGCAGGCGGCUUGCUAAGACAGGUGUGAAAGCCCCGAGCUUAACUUGGGAAUGGCGCUUGUGACUGGCAGGCUGGAGUGUGGCAGAGGGAGGUGGAAUUCCACGUGUAGCAGUGAAAUGCGUAGAGAUGUGGAGGAACACCGAUGGCGAAGGCAGCCUCCUGGGCCAACACUGACGCUCAUGCACGAAAGCGUGGGGAGCAAACAGG